AGCCUCCCUGCACCUCCAUCGGGAUUGACUGAGCAGGUCUCCUUGUCUACUGCCUGAAGGACACUCCAGUCAUUUCUCCUUUCCGGGCGGCCCCAGGGGCCUCCCAACAGCUUCCUCUGGGACAUUCAAAGGUUGCACAUUGCACUUAAGUAUUUGAAGUAUUUAUAGGCUGAUACAAUGGCCGGGGAAGCUUCGCGCCCAAGACAGCUCCUCCCGUCACCUACCACAGACUGUAAUUACAGUGCCUUGGUGACCUGGGCAGACUGAGGCCAAACCUGCCCCGGUUGCAUCGUUUCAUACAGGCCUGCCUGCCUGGCUGCUCCUGGGACGUGCCAAGACCACAGGUUCCUCCACUUGGAAUCGCUGGAGGAUCCCUUCCUCUCCGACACAGAAUCUGAGAGCUGAAGGGAAAAUAGAUAGAUGGUCCUGGGCUGAUCGUGGAGGAGGCCUACUUGGAGAACGCUCUAUUUGAAGGCCAGAGUGAGCCCUGGCUCUGCCCUGCUCCAACUGCUCUCAUGGAUUCUCUCUCAACUUGGACCUCAGCCUGGACCCCACUGAAUCUGUCAAGCCAGUUUCCUCUUCUAUGAUGCCACUUGCACUUCUAGAAGUUCUGGCAACUUCUGCAGCACAGUCAAGAGA
rnacentral:lncRNA from 1 species